GACGAACGCUGGCGGCGCGCCUAACACAUGCAAGUCGAACGAGCGAGAGGGAGCUUGCUUUCUCGAGCGAGUGGCGAACGGGUGAGUAACGCGUGAGGAACCUGCCUCAAAGAGGGGGACAACAGUUGGAAACGACUGCUAAUACCGCAUAAGCCCACGGUGCCGCAUGGCACAGAGGGAAAAGGAGCAAUCCGCUUUGAGAUGGCCUCGCGUCCGAUUAGCUAGUUGGUGAGGUAAUGGCCCACCAAGGCGACGAUCGGUAGCCGGACUGAGAGGUUGAACGGCCACAUUGGGACUGAGACACGGCCCAGACUCCUACGGGAGGCAGCAGUGGGGAUAUUGCACAAUGGGGGAAACCCUGAUGCAGCGACGCCGCGUGGAGGAAGAAGGUCUUCGGAUUGUAAACUCCUGUUGUUGGGGAAGAUAAUGACGGUACCCAACAAGGAAGUGACGGCUAACUACGUG
rnacentral:rRNA from 1 species